GUGCCCGUAGCUCAACUGGAUAGAGCGUCAGAUUGCGGAUCUGAAGGCUGCAAGUUCAAGUCUUGCCGGGCACACGA
rnacentral:tRNA from 1 species